rnacentral:rRNA from 1 species
GAUGAACGCUGGCGGCGUGCCUAAUACAUGCAAGUCGAGCGAACAGACGAGGAGCUUGCUCCUCUGACGUUAGCGGCGGACGGGUGAGUAACACGUGGAUAACCUACCUAUAAGACUGGGAUAACUUCGGGAAACCGGAGCUAAUACCGGAUAAUAUAUUGAACCGCAUGGUUCAAUAGUGAAAGACGGUUUUGCUGUCACUAUAAAUGGAUCCGCGCCGCAUUAGCUAGUUGGUAAGGUAACGGCUUACCAAGGCAACGAUGCGUAGCCGACCUGAGAGGGUGAUCGGCCACACUGGAACUGAGACACGGUCCAGACUCCUACGGGAGGCAGCAGUAGGGAAUCUUCCGCAAUGGGCGAAAGCCUGACGGAGCAACGCCGCGUGAGUGAUGAAGGUCUUCGGAUCGUAAAACUCUGUUAUUAGGGAAGAACAAAUGUGUAAGUAACUAUGCACGUCUUGACGGUACCUAAUCAGAAAGCCACGGCUAACUACGUG